rnacentral:lncRNA from 1 species
UUUUGAUUCUAGUGCUUUUGUGACACCCCAAUAGUCCCACAUCGGAUGGGAAUGGGGUUGUCAUUGGGUUUAUAAGAGAUUUAGACACUACUAAUAAUAACUGGGCUUAAGCAUUUUGGGCCUGUGGUUGGGGCCCAACGAGUUAUUGUUGCUAGUGGGCUGGGUUGUUACAUUUGGUAUCAGAGCCGGUUCACCAGCUGGUCAUGUGUGGCGAGUCUCGGCUGAGCCAGGGUCUGGAUGACGGGCUAGCGAGAUGAGUCUCACAUCGCCUGGUGAUCUUGGGCUGUGUGUAUGAUUGGACUGACGAGGACGUCAGGGCCUUAACGGGGGGAGUCUGUGACACCCCAAUAGUCCUACAUCGGAUGGGAAUGGGGUUGUCAUUGGGUUUAUAAGAGACUUAGACACUAGUAAUAAUAACUGGGCUUAAGCAUUUUGGGCCGGAUAUUGGGCCCAACGAGUUAUUAUUUCUAGUGGGCUAGGUCGUUACAGCUUUUGAGGCUGGAUUGGUUGGAUUAGAAUCUUCCUCUAGGCUAAAUUGGAAGGGUUCUAGCUCCCUUUUGAAGCUUUAGAAGAGAUUUCUCUCUUGAGGUGAGUUUUGAUCGUUUUUUGCUUUAUGGUUAAUGAAUGAGCUUUUCGCUCUUCGUUUCGUUUAGGUA